GUGGUGGCACAAAAUCGGAAGCCCCGACUGUUUACUAAAAACACAGCUAUCUGCAACGAUGUAAAUCUUAGUAUAGGUAGUGAGGUUUGCCCGAUGCCAUUAAUAUAAGAGAAGUGAUGGGUAACUGUUAAUUAUCGAAAAUCUGGUUAAUAGCGGUCUUAACUAUGAGGAUCCUAAGGUAGCAAAAUAAAUUGGCCAUUAAAUGUGGUCCGGUAUCAAUAAUUUAAUGAUCACUAUACUUUCUUAUAAACUUUGCUAAUAAGUUUGAGUUACUAUUGCAGAUGCACGUUAUCAGUCGACCAACAGCAA
rnacentral:rRNA from 1 species